GACGAACGCUGGCGGCGUGCUUAACACAUGCAAGUCGAACGGAAAGGCCCUGCUUUUGUGGGGUUCUCGAUUGGCGAACGGGUGAGUAACACAUGAGUAUCCUGCCCUUGACUUUGGUAUAUCUUCAGGAAACUGGGGCUCAUACCGCAUAUUAUCUCCUGCUGCAUGUUGUGGGUUGGAAAGUUUCGGCGGUUGUGGAUGGACUCGCGGCUUAUCCGCUUGUUUGUGGGGUAGUGGCUUACCAAGGCUUUGACGGGUAGCCUGCAUGAGAGUGUUACCGGCCACAUUGGGACUGAGAGACGGACCAGAAGCCUACGGGAGGCAGCAGGGGGGAAUAUUGCACAAUGGGCGGAAGCCUGAUGCAGAAACGCCGCGAGCGGGAUGACGGCCUUCGGGUUGUAAACCGAUGUCGAAUGUGACGAAGAGUGAGUGACGGUAAUGGGUAAAGAAGCACCGGCUAACUACGUG
rnacentral:rRNA from 1 species